rnacentral:lncRNA from 1 species
AAAAAGGGAGUCGAAUGUGGAUAUCGAAUUUAAGGGUACUUUUACCAUGGUAGCCCUCUCGAUAGUAUGCUCCACCCAUUAGGAUGGCAUCACUUCAUCCUUUGGGCUACCCCCACAUCGAGUAUGCUAAACCAUAGUGAGUUUCAUCGAAACUCAUACCCCGCGUGACAACGGAUUUAUUUAUACGAUCUACUUAUUUAUAACAACCUAAAAAUAGACGGGAGUCGCCACUAGCCUCAACUUUGGGGGUCGGCUAGAAACCCAAUCGAGGGUCGGGAGUGUCCCCUCGAUUCCUAUGCAACCAGAUAUCCAGGUUCGGGGACUUGGGUUACGCUAAUAUUGCUAUUAACGCCCUUUCGGUACCUAAACAGUAUGUUGUGUUUUUCUUAACAUGUCCAUGCGUUUUUUUUACAUUUUUCAGGAUCAUCAAUUCCUAGACUAAGUGAUCAUGCGUGGCGAAUUACUUUCAUUCUAUUCUAUUUCUAAAAAAUGAAAAGAAAACAAUCAAUGAAAUUGAAAGCACAAGACAUGAAGUAAACAAUCAAGAGAAAUCAGUAAACCUAAUUAUGCAAUUCUAAAGAAUAUAAAAGAGAAAACAAUCGAGAAAGAAAGGAAACCCGCAACUCGUCGGGCUUUAUACAAUGCAUAAAACCCGAGACAUGUGUCGGGAAAAUGAGCAUUACAUGAUAACAGUCGGAGUGGACAUCGACCUUCACCAUCUUCACGCCUUCUCCAUCUUCGGGAUCCUAAUCUAAAUCUAAUCUAAUAAACCUAUAACUAGGUAUAUGCAGUGGAAGGAAACAAACAAACAUAUCAAAACAUCAAAGAACAGGACAUUAUUAGUGUUCAAAAAUGGUGACUAAAGUCACAAAGUCUUCUAGAUCAAAUUCUAAGUAGUGUCCCAAGAUUCAUCAUUAUUAUAUGUCACAUCUAAAUUCUUCAUCACAGAAACUAGACACUCAACAUAGGCUCAAUAAAAAUGCAAUCAAUGGCUAUCUCAUCCUAAAAUUUCUAUAGCAGGUGAAUCAGCAUAUGAGGAACAAACUUCAUGAAAAAAAACAUCCUAAAAUUCUAGGCACGUGAAUUUAUAACAUCCUGGAAGAGAUCAAGGUCAAUCAAAAGUAGAACAGAGCAGCAAGGCAAACAUACAACCAUUUUUUUUAUGUGAAGGACAAACUUUCAUGAAGGACCUAAUCCCAAACUCCUCACACAAAAAUUUGUAUUAAAUUCACAAGUAUUCGAGGUUAUAGAAACAAAGCAUGCUUUCUAGACCAAGACAAAUUCCAAAUUUCAAUAUCAGCAAAUUUACGCAUGAACAGCAAACAUCAAUUACGCGUGAUCUCCAUUUAACCCACUAAAAGCACACAUAAUCGCAUUCUAGUAAAACUUUAUAGAGGAAGUGCAGUAAGACACAAGCAUUGCAACUUUAAUGGGACAUUGGAACGUAGGUAAACAUAACGCAAUAGGGAUUAACUAUAUAUGACUGAGCCCAAAAGUCACAAAGCACAGCAUGUAGAUUGAAGAUAAAGAGAGAAAAUAAGCAUAGGAAAUCAGCCAAUAUGGAUCACUAAACCCACAUAUUUUCAUCAUACUCCUAAGUAUCUACUCUUUCUCAUAAGCCAGAUCUAUCAAGACAACAGGAAGUAAUUGAAUGAUAACCCAUGUAAAGAAAAAUACGCCUAAAAGAGAGAUGAAGUCCAGCCUCCAUUUAGUUUCAGGUUUAGGUAUUUCCUUUGACAAACUCAAACAUCAUUGCUGUUACUGACCCUAACAAAAGCUGAACCAGAUUCCCAGAUCAUCCAACAUGCACCAAGGAUAUAAAGUCCUUUCCUGAUAUAAAAUCAUUUGCUGCUAAGGAAAUGUUUCUCCACUAAGGUGAACUUCAGGUACAACUCAUACCGGUCUACCGACAACUACAAACUCAUCAAGGGGGGAAAAAUGCCAUACAGCAGUCCAGAUUGAAGUGCACCAGCGAAUUCACAACUUUAUGGCAGAGAACACAUUCAAUAUUGUGAACAAAGAACUCUAAAAAAUGAACACAGCAGCAACAGGGGACCAAUUUUAUUAAAACCAAUCAAUUUUCUUCUUGUACGUGUCCUGUUUGCUCAGCUUGCUUUGCACUGGAUAUGUAUCUAACCCAAGAAUUUCAAUAACAAAUCCUAAAAAGGCUAGCUACUAAUUUCUGAAAUGAAAGGAAACGAAAUACAAGUAAAGUCUAUACAACAAAACUAAUGUAUCGAUCAAGUAAAGGGAAGCUCUCAAUCAGAAUCUGAAUUGAAACACACACUGAUCUAAUUCAUGAAUUUUAUCAAAUAGGUGGUAGAUAUUUCCGUCAAAGGAGCUAGAUGCAGAAAUAAGAGAGACAUCUUAUCACAAAGAGGCGAUGCAGCAUGUUCAAGGUCAUUAGGAAAGCCUCACACGUGACUAGAUUUCGCUGGUGGAAUUGAGUAUUCGGUUUUUACCUUUAGCAGAAACAGAGCAUGUGGAUUUACCUUGGCGAAGAGUAAUAUCUUACCACGAUUGGAGAAUGGAGGUCCUAAACACGUCGGCACCUGUAACUUGAACGAAGAAACCGUCGCUGUAGUAAACGCUGUCGCCGUUGGCUUCAGAGCUCGAUCUCUGGAACCGAACGGAUUCCUCUGAACUCGGUGAAGUAUCAAAAACUGUCACUCUCCGAGCUCCUCGACUGACUGUUCCGACCUCUAGAGUUUGAGAGAGAUCGGAUCUACAACUUCAACGGCGGCAUCGAAGAACGGCACUCGGAUUCGGAGAUUCGCUAGACUGAACAUCAGGUCUGGGCCGGGGUUUCGGAGACGGGGCCGCGACGGAUUCAACGCGCUCAGGCACUGGAAUCGAGUGUCUGCAGCAGAAUCUCUCCGACGAUUCAGUGAGCCCAAUCCCGAGAGAUUCGAGUCUAAGAAUGGCGAAAGAAAAAACGGAUCUCCAGUCGUCUUCAGAUCGGGUCAGACCCAACGAACAGAACCGCUGACAUCGUCGUUGCCAUGACCGCCGUCGCCUCCGAUCUUCGAUCCCUCACCAAUAGAGAAAAAUAUCAAAUCGACUCCAACACGGGAGCUUCGGAGAUGUCCGCCAUUCAAUGAUGUUGAAGCUGAUUUCGUUAUUGGAGCUUCUGGAACAUCAAGAACGCCGAGCUUCGAUGUACUGAAUGAGUGGAGAAUCUCAGCAAAAGUUGCAGAGAUGAAAGAGAGAAAAUCCUCGGAGAGAAGUAGCGGAAACGUUUUGAUCUCGAGAGAGAAUCCAUGGGGAUCCUUCUUGCAAGAGAGACCACCGGCGAAGAAUUCCUUCGUUUUUUCUGUUCGACCCCCAAUGCCGAGGGAAAAAUCCAAGAGAGAGAUGUAGAGAGAGAAUUUUAGUCCGAGAAACUAGAUCUGGAAAAUGACCCCCCC